UGUUUGUGGAAUAUUGUAAAAUCAAAUCGCAGUGACUAAGCUGCCUGGGUGAUGCAUUAUCAACUUAAAAGAAAAAUAAUUUGAGAGACUAGCCUUGCCGUGGAACGUUUUGAGCUACAAAUUUUAGAUAUUACCUUCCUUCAUCGAAUAAAGAACCAAAUGUAAGAGGUUUCCGCCCUUCUAAGUCUUGCGGUUCCAUCCAAUAACGGUGAACUUUGCCCUCUUCUUUGCCGGUUUCUGAUAAAGAUCUCUGAGUUUGGAAUCGAUAG